rnacentral:rRNA from 1 species
ACCUACGGGAGGCAGCAGUAGGGAAUCUUCCACAAUGGGCGAAAGCCUGAUGGAGCAACGCCGCGUGGGUGAAGAAGGUCUUCGGAUCGUAAAACCCUGUUGUUAGAGAAGAAAGUGCGUGAGAGUAACUGUUCACGUUUCGACGGUAUCUAACCAGAAAGCCACGGCUAACUACGUGCCAGCAGCCGCGGUAAUACGUAGGUGGCAAGCGUUAUCCGGAUUUAUUGGGCGUAAAGCGAGUGCAGGCGGUUGCUUUGGUCUUGU